rnacentral:rRNA from 1 species
UACGGAGGGUGCGAGCGUUGUCCGGAAUCAUUGGGCGUAAAGGGCGCGUAGGUGGCCCGGUCAGUCUUUGGUGAAAGCGCGGGGCUCAACCCUGCGUCGGCCAGGGAUACUGCCGCGGCUCGAGCACUGUAGAGGCAGGCGGAAUUCCGGGUGGUAGCGGUGGAAUGCGUAGAGAUCCGGAAGAACACCGGUGGCGAAGGCGGCCUGCUGGGCAGUUUGGCUGACACUGAGGCGCGACAGCGUGGGGAGCAAACAGG